GUUUAACACUAAAUAAGGGUCCGUGGUAACCUAUAACCUGUCCCCUUCUGGAGGUUUGGCUAAGGCAGAGUUUACACACUUCCUUGUUGUCAUACCCUUGAUACUGUUAGUUGCAGUUCUGAUAGGCUAAAAGCAGUCAGUUGAUACUGUCAGCCAAUCACAGCUGAUUAUUGUUGCUCAAGCUAAUACUUCCUUAUUAGCCAAACGCACCAGAGAGGGGAUGGGCUGCUGGGAACUAGACAUGUGC